rnacentral:rRNA from 1 species
GACGAACGCUGGCGGCGUGCCUAAUACAUGCAAGUAGAACGCUGAAGAGAGGAGCUUGCUCUUCUUGGAUGAGUUGCGAACGGGUGAGUAACGCGUAGGUAACCUGCCUGGUAGCGGGGGAUAACUAUUGGAAACGAUAGCUAAUACCGCAUAAAAUGGAUUAUCGCAUGAUAAUCCAUUGAAAGGUGCAAAUGCAUCACUACCAGAUGGACCUGCGUUGUAUUAGCUAGUUGGUGGGGUAACGGCUCACCAAGGCGACGAUACAUAGCCGACCUGAGAGGGUGAUCGGCCACACUGGGACUGAGACACGGCCCAGACUCCUACGGGAGGCGGCAGUAGGGAAUCUUCGGCAAUGGACGGAAGUCUGACCGAGCAACGCCGCGUGAGUGAAGAAGGUUUUCGGAUCGUAAAGCUCUGUUGUAAGAGAAGAACGAGUGUGAGAGUGGAAAGUUCACACUGUGACGGUAUCUUACCAGAAAGGGACGGCUAACUACGUG